rnacentral:tRNA from 76 species
AGGGGAUUGGUCAAAUGGUAUGAUAGGGGUCUCCAAAACCUUUGGUGGGAGUUCGAUUCUCUCAUCCCCUGCUA